CAGCAGCCGCGGUAAAACGGAGGGUGCAAGCGUUGUCCGGAUUUAUUGGGUUUAAAGGGUGCGUAGGCGGCCUAAUAAGUCAGUGGUGAAAGCCUCCAGCUUAACUGGAGAACUGCCAUUGAUACUGUUAGGCUUGAGUAUACUUGAGGUAGGCGGAAUUGACAGUGUAGCGGUGAAAUGCAUAGAUAUUGUCAAGAACACCAAUUGCGAAGGCAGCUUACUAAACUAUAACUGACGCUGAGGCACGAAAGUGUGGGUAUCAAACAGGAUUAGAUACCCCUGUAGUCCCUGUCUCUUAUAC
rnacentral:rRNA from 1 species